GCCGGGGUGGCGGAAUUGGCAGACGCACAGGACUUAAAAUCCUGCGAUACGUGAGUAUCGUACGGGUUCGACCCCCGUCCUCGGCA
rnacentral:tRNA from 1 species